AUACAAAUCUCCUGGGGACCUUGUUAAAAUGCAGAUUCUUAUCCAGUAGGUCUUGGGUGAGACCUGAGAGUCUGCGUUUCUAACAAGCUCCCCGUGAUGCCUAA
rnacentral:pre_miRNA from 1 species